ACGUGGAAUGGAGUAGUUGUGAUGGUCAAGAUUAACCCACAUACAUUGAUUUAGUAAACAAAAACACUCGUACAGCUGUAGAGUACAUUUUGAACAGCCAUCUCUAGGAUAUUCUCUGAAGACAGUGAUGUGCAUGUUCAAGGAUUGCCUG